AGUCUUCUUAUGAUUAAGACAUAGAGACGGAACCAGCUUGAUUUAAUACCGAAAUGGGUCUGACAUGAACCAUGGCCAAGUCAACAGAGACAGGCAACCAACACGUGACACUUGCCUGCAAGCUUUUCUGAGACACGGAUGGCUGAGAGCCAGCUCUAAAUAUUUCACGUCUCUGUCUGAGUUGAUCAGGUUUCCCAAAGCAGCCUCACGAGGACGUUAGGGAUAGUAGAGGGCUAAACACAACAACAAAACUCAAAGGUUUCCAACAGACUGGGAAGCAGAUGUGGACCCAGAGCCUUGCCCUAUUGUGUUGUUUCUGAACCGGCUACAUCCAUCCAGCAAUUGCUCUGGAAAUAAUCAGUUGUACCUCUGUUCGUCUAUUUAAAAACUGGGUGGCACCAAGACAGGGCUGCGUAUCAAGACAGGGCUGUUCACUUUUUUAUUCCUCGGGCCCAACAUGGUGGACUCAGCUUAUUUCUGAUUUUCUGUGAAUGAAAUAACAGAGUUUGCUGUGCAGAACCAUCUGGCUAUGCACAGCAUGCGGUGUUUGUCUUGACCCCACCCCCAACUCCCAGCAUGCCUCUGAGGUCAGAAUUCCCCUAUGGCUGGGGUGCUUCCAGGAUAUGCUUAGAGCAGCACAAAAUUUGGCAAUAAUAAUAACCCAUAAGUGCAUCAUCAAUGCAAAUCUCUUUCCACAAGAGAACAAUCGCCAGGCCAGUCUGGUGCCUUUCAGUGGAAGCCAGGGUGUAGUUGAAGAGAUCACCAGAGUCUAACGCACAAAAAGACAAUCUACACCACCCACUCCUACCCUCCAAUUCGCCCUGUGCUUAUUGCUCUGAAAUCAUGCUCUGCCAUGUUUAGGUGUUACUGCCCGGUUCUCCUCACCAGAGAAAGAAUAGCAACCAGGAAAACCUCUAUCCUCAAUGGAGCAAGUGUCUGUGGAAUUGACUAGUGUGUAGUGAACAGUUGCGUGGACACUUAUGUGCUGCGUGCGGAAUGUUUGGGGUGUUUGCCGUGACCUAGCUCACUGUCUCAUCACAAAGGCUUUAGGAGGGUUCAGUCCAUCACAGCAGGGAAAGCAUGGCCGCAGAUGCAAGGCAGUUGUCAAUAUCGUCUCCACAGUCAGCAAGCAGAGAGUAGACAGGAAACACGGCAUGGACAUAAAACCUUCAAGCCUUCCUCAGUGGCCUGCUUUCUCCAGAGGAGUUCCACUUCCUAAUGGCUACGCACACUUCCAAAAGAGCACCACCAGCUGGGGACCAGCUGUUCCAACAUGAGCCUGUGGGGGACAUUUACCAUUCAAGCACACGGGAGACUGCUAUGGACAGAAGAAAGCAGAGCGUUUUCUUCAGAUAUGGCGAGCAGGAUGUGAUUUGUUGCUUCUAUCUGCACAGGUUUAACUCAAGAAAUCGUCAUCACCAGAAUUCAAAUAAAACCUUCAGUUCUCACAGUUUGGUCUUGGGGUGUUUGGUUGAUUGGUUGGUUUUUGUUUGUUUGGUUUUUGUUGUUGUUGUAAUCUUGACUAAAGCAAUUUCAGGUCUAAAGAUAUAAGCUGAAAUUUCAGCCAUCGA
rnacentral:lncRNA from 1 species